CUGCACAUUGGUGCGGCCAACCGUCAUGGAGCUGUCUUUUCACUGGUCGUUGCGCACGUAGCGCCUGUCGCUGUGGCCGGCCUAGACGAGGUGCCUGUGUGGUUCUACCUGCGGGGGAUCCCUUUGGCUUGCGAUUGAUGCUUGCCUGCCCUGUCAAGAAUUGUGUGUUGCCGGGGUUAGUCGGAAUGCUGGCGAUGCCAAGCGUGCAGAUGCGGCGGGUUGCCGUGCCUGUAUUUUGGUGUUGCUGAUGCUCUCGGAUGUUGUGCGUAUUGAUGGCUUCGGGCCCCCAUUGGCCCCUGGUUGCCUCUUGAUGUCCCCUGAUCGGAACGCUGCUUGAUCGCACUGUUGUCCUGUCGCGGUGCCCUCUUGGCCGACGGAAUUGCCGGGCGAGGGGUGCGUGUGUCGGACGUUGGUGCGGCGGGCUCGCUUUCCGGCGAGCGAGACGUCCUGUUUCCCGAAUUCCUGAUUGCCGGUUCGCGCAUACGGUCCGGACACCCUAGCCGGUG
rnacentral:misc_RNA from 1 species